rnacentral:rRNA from 1 species
GGCCAGACUCCUACGGGAGGCAGCAGUGGGGAAUAUUGCACAAUGGGCGAAAGCCUGAUGCAGCAACGCCGCGUGAAGGAAGACGGUUUUCGGAUUGUAAACUUCUGUUCUUAGUGAAGAAUAAUGACGGUAACUAAGGAGCAAGCCACGGCUAACUACGUGCCAGCAGCCGCGGUAAUACGGGGGGUGCAAGCGUUGUCCGGAAUCAUUGGGCGUAAAGAGUUCGUAGGCGGCACGUAAAGUCUGGUGUUAAAGGCAGAGGCUCAACUUCUGUACGGCACUGGAUACUUGCGAGCUAGAAUGCGGUAGAGGUAAAGGGAAUUCCUAGUGUAGCGGUGAAAUGCUUAGAUAUCAGGAGGAACAUCGGUGGCGUAAGCGCCUUACUGGGCCGUAAUUGACGCUGAGGAACGAAAGCCAGGGUAGCAAAUGGGAUUAGAUACCCCUGUA